AAUUAUGCCCGCGGCCCUUAUCUGUGGAUUCCCCAAGCCACCUCCACACCUCAAACCACUGGCCGCCGCAUCUCCGCCCGCUGGCCGCCGUCGCCGCAUCUCUGCCCGCUGGCCAGCCAUGUCUCCUUCCACGACUGGAUCAACAUCACCCCCGUCCAAUGGAUUUAUCCCGUUCACCGGCGUUCGCGAUCGACGAGCUGCAGAAUCUCACAACGCUCGAGCUCCAGGCCCGCUCCCCGGCGAGGUGCCUGCGUGGUUCAUCCGCGGUCUCCUGCCGCCACUCGCCGUGGUCGAGCUCCGCUAGGUCGCAGUCAAUGGCACGCUCCCGCCCAAUCUCGGCUCAUCGGGGAUUCUGACUAGGCUUCUCCUCUUCGGGAACAGCCUCUCGGUCCAGGUUCCAGAAACGUUGCUCUCCGUCAAAGGCCUUCUAUCGUAUAAAUUUGUUAUAUUUACUUUAUACUUUCUGGGGUCCUCUAAGUGGCGAUUGUGCUUUUGACGUUUAUGAAUACAGCAAUGACAUUCAUAUUUGUCAAGGCAUUAUUACUGAAGAGACAUAAAAAUUAUAUAUGUGAAACUUUUGUUGACCUAUUAUUCCCACCUCAGAACAAAAGAUUAGAGGAAUAUGAUUUGUCUAUGUAUAUGGUUCGAAGAAUUGACCUGAUGUAGAAGUAUAUGAUUUUGUGUGACUAGCCGUGAGUAAAUAUUGUUGUUUCGACUGGCCGUGAGUAGUGCUGAGGACUUGCGGGUAUUUCUUAGGUAUUCUUUUUACUCAGGUUUGACCAUAGAAACGAACAAGUCUUAUGACCAUCUGUACUGUAGUAUUGCUUAUACUAAUUUGUUGAGAUUUCAGGAUUUCAUAAUCAGGGGAUGAAAUAAAUUCCCACUUUACAGGUAUAUGAUUGAUCAAAUUAUUUAGUUAGUAAGUCAAUAUAUGUGUUAAUGUUAAGCGUUUAUUUCCUUAUAAGUAAUGGGUUCAUCAAGGAACGUAGAGUUCAGAUUGUUGGGCUUAGGAAAAUUAUCUACUAAGCUGUCUUUGAUUUACUCCUCAAAAGCAAUGCUUAUGUUGAGACAUGGCCUUCUAUCAGGAUGAUGGAACAUGCCAUGGUGAAGAAUCACAGUCUCUACUGGAAGUAUCUCAACAGCCAGAGCUUAAAUGUAGAGGUUCUGACUGGAGAUCACCUGCAAUCAUUCUUGGACUUGAAUGCUUGGAGAGCACACCAUGCCACGUUAAGUGAGGAAAAACGGUUUGUUUCUGUACACAAGUCGUGAUGAUGAUCUAUGGAACCUUAGAAGCGAUAUUCUGAAGUAAGCCCUUGGUGCCGCAGUGGCUGGAGCUGAACAUUCUAUCGCAUAGACGCGGGUUCGAGUCCAAGUUCUCCCUUUUUUCAUUUUUAAUCUUUUUCCUUUCCUAUCCUUAUAUUACCUAUACUAAUAAAAGUCGUAUCACUUCUGUCCGUACGUCGUAGUUUUUUUUAGCAACCCAUACAUCAUAAUUAAGUAUCAUUGAUGAUCUGGGUCUUACACGCA